UACAGAGGGUGCGAGCGUUAAUCGGAAUGACUGGGCGUAAAGGGCGCGUAGGCGGAUAAUUAAGUUGGAUGUGAAAUCCCUGGGCUUAACCUAGGACGGUCAUUCAAUACUGGUUAUCUAGAGUGCAGUAGAGGGUAGUGGAAUUUCCGGUGUAGCGGUGAAAUGCGUAGAUAUCGGAAGGAACACCGGUGGCGAAGGCGGCGACCUGGUCCGAUACUGACGCUGAGGCGCGAAAGCGUGGGGAGCAAACAGG
rnacentral:rRNA from 1 species